GUGGAUGCCCUGGCAGUCAGAGGCGAUGAAGGACGUGCUAAUCUGCGAAAAGCGUCGGUAAGGUGAUAUGAACCGUUAUAGCCGGCGAUGUCCGAAUGGGGAAACCCAGUGUGAUUCGUCACACUAUCGUUAACUGAAUACAUAGGUUAACGAGGCGAACCGGGGGAACUGAAACAUCUAAGUACCCCGAGGAAAAGAAAUCAACCGAGAUUCCCCCAGUAGCGGCGAGCGA
rnacentral:rRNA from 1 species